UAGGGAAUCUUCCACAAUGGACGCAAGUCUGAUGGAGCAACGCCGCGUGAGUGAAGAAGGUUUUCGGAUCGUAAAGCUCUGUUGUUGGUGAAGAAGGAUAGAGGCAGUAACUGGUCUUUAUUUGACGGUAAUCAACCAGAAAGUCACGGCUAACUACGUGCCAGCAGCCGCGGUAAUACGUAGGUGGCAAGCGUUGUCCGGAUUUAUUGGGCGUAAAGCGAGCGCAGGCGGAAUGAUAAGUCUGAUGUGAAAGCCCACGGCUCAACCGUGGAACUGCAUCGGAAACUGUCAUUCUUGAGUGCAGAAGAGGAGAGUGGAACUCCAUGUGUAGCGGUGGAAUGCGUAGAUAUAUGGAAGAACACCAGUGGCGAAGGCGGCUCUCUGGUCUGCAACUGACGCUGAGGCUCGAAAGCAUGGGUAGCGAACAGGAUUAGAUACCCUGGUAGUCCAUGCCGUAAACGAUGAGCGCUAGGUGUUGGGGACUUUCCGGUCCUCAGUGCCGCAGCAAACGCAUUAAGCGCUCCGCCUGGGGAGUACGACCGCAUGGUUGAAACUCUAAAGUGAAUUGAC
rnacentral:rRNA from 1 species